GCUGGCGGCAGGCCUAACACAUGCAAGUCGAGCGGAUGAGAAGAGCUUGCUCUUCGAUUCAGCGGCGGACGGGUGAGUAAUGCCUAGGAAUCUGCCUGGUAGUGGGGGACAACGUUUCGAAAGGAACGCUAAUACCGCAUACGUCCUACGGGAGAAAGCAGGGGACCUUCGGGCCUUGCGCUAUCAGAUGAGCCUAGGUCGGAUUAGCUAGUUGGUGAGGUAAUGGCUCACCAAGGCGACGAUCCGUAACUGGUCUGAGAGGAUGAUCAGUCACACUGGAACUGAGACACGGUCCAGACUCCUACGGGAGGCAGCAGUGGGGAAUAUUGGACAAUGGGCGAAAGCCUGAUCCAGCCAUGCCGCGUGUGUGAAGAAGGUCUUCGGAUUGUAAAGCACUUUAAGUUGGGAGGAAGGGCAUUAACCUAAUACGUUAGUGUUUUGACGUUACCGACAGAAUAAGCACCGGCUAACUCUGUGCCAGCAGCCGCGGUAAUACAGAGGGUGCAAGCGUUAAUCGGAAUUACUGGGCGUAAAGCGCGCGUAGGUGGUUUGUUAAGUUGGAUGUGAAAGCCCCGGGCUCAACCUGGGAACUGCAUCCAAAACUGGCAAGCUAGAGUACGGUAGAGGGUGGUGGAAUUUCCUGUGUAGCGGUGAAAUGCGUAGAUAUAGGAAGGAACACCAGUGGCGAAGGCGACCACCUGGACUGAUACUGACACUGAGGUGCGAAAGCGUGGGGAGCAAACAGGAUUAGAUACCCUGGUAGUCCACGCCGUAAACGAUGUCAACUAGCCGUUGGAAUCCUUGAGAUUUUAGUGGCGCAGCUAACGCAUUAAGUGACCGCCUUGGGGAUCGU
rnacentral:rRNA from 1 species